UACGAAGGGGGCUAGCGUUGCUCGGAAUCACUGGGCGUAAAGCGCACGUAGGCGGCUUGUUAAGUCAGGGGUGAAAUCCUGGAGCUCAACUCCAGAACUGCCUUUGAUACUGGCGAGCUUGAGUUCGGGAGAGGUGAGUGGAACUGCGAGUGUAGAGGUGAAAUUCGUAGAUAUUCGCAAGAACACCAGUGGCGAAGGCGGCUCACUGGCCCGGAACUGACGCUGAGGUGCGAAAGCGUGGGGAGCAAACAGG
rnacentral:rRNA from 1 species